GGUCAGUGUGGCCCGGUGCGUGUCGUCGUUGCCGACGGCGACCGAGGCCGGUUCGCCCUCGGCGUCGGUCUC
rnacentral:tRNA from 1 species